rnacentral:rRNA from 1 species
UACGAAGGGCGCAAGCGUUAAUCGGAAUUACUGGGCGUAAAGCGUGCGCAGGCGGCUUUGCAAGACAGAUGUGAAAUCCCCGGGCUCAACCUGGGAACUGCAUUUGUGACUGCAAGGCUAGAGUACGGCAGAGGGGGAUGGAAUUCCGCGUGUAGCAGUGAAAUGCGUAGAUAUGCGGAGGAACACCAAUGGCGAAGGCAAUCCCCUGGGCCUGUACUGACGCUCAUGCACGAAAGCGUGGGGAGCAAACAGG